rnacentral:rRNA from 1 species
AAGCCUACUCUAGCCCGACCACAUCACCAGACAACGAUAGAAAAAUCCACUUUACCACUAAACUAAAUCAUUCUUUAAACUUAGUAUAGGCGAUAGAAAAGAAUCUCUCCAGGCGCGAUAGAAACUGUACCGUAAGGGAAAGAUGAAAUAAUAAUGAAAACCCAAGCAUCAAAUAGCAAAGAUAAACCCUUGUACCUUUUGCAUCAUGAUUUAGCAAGAACAACCAAGCAAAACGAAUUUAAGCUUGCCACCCCGAAACCUAAGCGAGCUACUUGCAAGCAGCUACCUAUGAGCGAACCCGUCUCUGUUGCAAAAGAGUGGGACGACUUGCCAGUAGAGGUGAGAAGCCAACCGAGCUGGGUGAUAGCUGGUUGCCUGUGAAACGAAUCUAAGUUCUCUCUCGAUCCUUCUCCCCGGACACAACCUUAAACCCCCAUGUAAUGGGUCAAGAGUUAUUUAAAGGGGGUACAGCCCCUUUAAAAAAGAACACAACCUCCACUAGCGGAUAAUUUUCUUCCCCACAAACUGUAGGCCUUCAAGCAGCCACCAAUAAAGAAUGCGUCAAAGCUCCCCACGUAAAAAUCCAAUAAUAAUAUGAUUCCCUUCCUACUAACAGGCCAACCUAUAAUCAUAGGAGAAUUAAUGCUAGAAUGAGUAACUGGGGACUUAACCCUCUCAAGCGCAAACUUACAUUUACACAUUAUUAACAGCCAACAAACCAAUAUCUCAACUCCAACAAGACUAAGAUAUUAACCACAUCCUGUUACCCCAACUCAGGAGCGCCUGUUAGAAAGAUUAAAAUCUGUAAAAGGAACUAGGCAAACCCAGGGCCCGACUGUUUACCAAAAACAUAGCCUUCAGCUAACCAAGUAUUGAAGGUGAUGCCUGCCCAGUGACACAACGUUUAACGGCCGCGGUAUCCUAACCGUGCGAAGGUAGCGCAAUCAAUUGUCUCAUAAAUCGAGACUUGUAUGAAUGGCUAAACGAGGUCCUAACUGUCUCUUACAGAUAAUCAGUGAAAUUGAUCCUCCUGUGCAAAAGCAGGAAUACCCACAUAAGACGAGAAGACCCUGUGGAACUUAAGAAUCAACGGCCACCACACAAAAAUUCAAGCCUACCAGGCCCACUACACCCCAAAUACUGGCCUACAUUUUUUGGUUGGGGCGACCUUGGAGAAAAACAAAUCCUCCAAAAACAAGACCACACCUCUUAACCAAGAACAACCCCUCGACGUACUAAUAGUAACCAGACCCAAUACAAUUGAUCAAUGGACCAAGCUACCCCAGGGAUAACAGCGCAAUCUCCUCUAAGAGCCCACAUCGACGAGGAGGUUUACGACCUCGAUGUUGGAUCAGGACAUCCUAAUGGUGCAGCCGCUAUUAAGGGUUCGUUUGUUCAACGAUUAACAGUCCUACGUGAUCUGAGUUCAGACCGGAGCAAUCCAGGUCGGUUUCUAUCUAUGCUAGACUUUCCCUAGUACGAAAGGACCGAGAAAGUAGGGCCAAUACUACAAGCACGCCCUCUCCCUAAGCAAUGCAUGCAACUAAAUUACUAAGGGACUCCCCACACCAUCCAUCCUAGAAAAGGAUUA